UAGAAUAACUAUGGCAUAGAAAACUUUUUAAGUAGUAUAGUAAAGUGAAGUGACGUUAUUAUUAUUAUUUUUUUUUGGAGAGAUAGGUAGCACGCUACUCGUUUCGUUUAUUUCAUUUAGAAAUAAACUUAGUUUGAAGUGUGAAUCAACUAGGAUUCGAACUUGGGUCUCGGGUAUCAACCAUCAAACCCUUUGCCACUUGUUCUAGGGACGGUUGGUGUGAAGUGAUGUUAUUAAGUCCAGAAUAUUUAGAUAUGC
rnacentral:lncRNA from 1 species